rnacentral:rRNA from 1 species
UAGGGAAUCUUCGGCAAUGGGGGGAACCCUGACCGAGCAACGCCGCGUGAGUGAAGAAGGUUUUCGGAUCGUAAAGCUCUGUUGUUAAGGAAGAACGAGUGUGAGAAUGGAAAGUUCAUACUGUGACGGUAUCUAACCAGAAAGCCACGGCUAACUACGUGCCAGCAGCCGCGGUAAUACGUAGGUGGCAAGCGUUGUCCGGAUUUAUUGGGCGUAAAGCGAGCGCAGGCGGUCAAUUAAGUCUGAUGUGAAAGCCCCCGGCUCAACCGGGGAGGGUCAUUGGAAACUGGUUGACUUGAGUGCAGAAGAGGAGAGUGGAAUUCCAUGUGUAGCGGUGAAAUGCGUAGAUAUAUGGAGGAACACCAGUGGAGAAGGCGACUCUCUGGUCUGUAACUGACGCUGAGGCUCGAAAGCGUGGGUAGCAAACAGG